UACGUAGGGUGCAAGCGUUAAUCGAAAUUACUGGGCGUAAAGCGUGCGCAGGCGGUUGGGCAAGACCGAUGUGAAAGCCCCGGGCUUAACCUGGGAAUGGCAUUGGUGACUGCACGGCUAGAGUGUGUCAGAGGGGGGUAGAAUUCCACGUGUAGCAGUGAAAUGCGUAGAGAUGUGGAGGAAUACCGAUGGCGAAGGCAGCCCCCUGGGAUAACACUGACGCUCAUGCACGAAAGCGUGGGGAGCAAACAGG
rnacentral:rRNA from 1 species